rnacentral:rRNA from 1 species
GACGAACGCUGGCGGCGUGCUUAACACAUGCAAGUCGAACGGCAAGGCCCCUUUGGGGGUCCUCGAGUGGCGAACGGGUGCGUAACACGUGAGUAACCUGCCCUUGACUCCGGGACAACUUCAGGAAACUGGGGCAAAUACCGGAUAGGAAUCCUUGCUGCAUGGUGGGGGUUGGAAAGCUUCGGCGGCUUUGGAUGGACUCGCGGCCUAUCAGCUUGUUGGUGGGGUAGUGGCUUACCAAGGCGCUGACGGGUAGCCGGCCUGAGAGGGCGACCGGCCACAUUGGGUCUUAGGGACGGCCCAGACUCCUACGGUUGGCAGCAGGGGGGAAUAUUGCUCAAGCGGCGGCGGCCUGAUGCAGCAGCGCCUCGGGCUGGAUAGCGGUCUUCUGGUUGUAGACCGCUUUCAGCAGGAGCGAAGCUUGUGGUGACGGUACCUGCAGAAUAAGCACCGGCUAACUACGUG